GAUGAAGAACGCAGCGAAAUGCGAUACGUAAUGUGAAUUGCAAAUUCAGUGAAUCAUCGAGUCUUUGAACGCACAUUGCGCCCCCUGGUAUUCCGGGGGGCAUGCCUGUCCGAGCGUCAUUGCUGCCCUCAAGCACGGCUUGUGUGUUGGGCCCCGUCCUCCGAUCCCGGGGGACGGGCCCGAAAGGCAGCGGCGGCACCGCGUCCGGUCCUCGAGCGUAUGGGGCUUUGUCACCCGCUCUGUAGGCCCGGCCGGCGCUUGCCGAUCAACCCAAAUUUUUUAUCCAGGUUGACCUCGGAUCAGGUAGGGAUACCCGCUGAACUUAAGCAUAUCAAUAGCGGAGGA
rnacentral:misc_RNA from 1 species